rnacentral:rRNA from 1 species
UACGAAGGGUGCAAACGUUGCUCGGAAUUAUUGGGCGUAAAGCGCACGUAGGCGGCUUGGCAAGUCGGAUGUGAAAUCCCUCGGCUCAACCAAGGAAGUGCAUCCGAAACUGCAUAGCUAGAGUCCUGGAGAGGAAGGUGGAAUGCUUGGUGUAGAGGUGAAAUUCGUAGAUAUCAAGCGGAACACCGGUGGCGAAGGCGGCCUUCUGGACAGUGACUGACGCUGAGACGCGAAAGCGUGGGGAGCAAACAGGG